CGUAGGGUGCAAGCGUUAAUCGGAAUUACUGGGCGUAAAGCGUACGCAGGCGGCUUUGCAAGACAGGUGUGAAAUCCCCGGGCUAACCUGGGAACUGCAUUUGUGACUGCAUGGCUAGAGUUUGUCAGAGGGGGGUGGAAUUCCACGUGUAGCAGUGAAAUGCGUAGAGAUGUGGAAGAACACCGAUGGCGAAGGCAGCCCCCUGGGAUGUGACUGACGCUCAUGUACGAAAGCGUGGGGAGCAAACAGGAUUAGAUACCCUGGUAGUCCACGCCCUAAACGAUGUCUACUAGUUGUCGGAGGGUAACUCCUUCGGUAACGCAGCUAACGCGUGGAGUAGACCGCCUGGGGAGUACGGUCGCAAGAUUA
rnacentral:rRNA from 1 species